ACCCGUGUCACAUGACUUCAAACUUGACACCUCAUUGGCUGACAGUCUUCUUUUAACAGAAAUGUCGAAGAAGAACAUUUUUUUCGUGAGCAGGAAGAGGAGCCACAGUCCCCCCACAUUAAAGAGGAAGUUGAGACGCCACAGACCCAUAAUGUUAAACUGACCCUUCACAUUAAAGGGCAAACGGAGGACCCACUGAACUUACACAUCAAAAAUGAAGAGGAGGACCUACUGACCCCUCACUUUAAGGAGCAAAAGAACCUGCUGACCGCUCACAUUAAAAAGGAAGAGGAGGACCCACUGACCCCCUGCUUUAAAAAGGAAGAAGAGUUCCAAGAGCCGCCGCACAUUAAAGAGGAAGAGGAGGAAGAGGGCAUCAGUCAGCCUAAAUGGUUGGAGGAGUUCCCAGUGACUGGUGUCCCUGUGAAGAGUGAAGAUGAUGAGGUGAAAGGUGAAAGUGAGGAGAGGGGAGGGGGGGAGCCUCCAAGCAGCAGCUCAACACAACACAUGACAACAGAAGCUGAUGGAGACCACUGUGGAGGAUCACAAGCAGACAAGCUCUUAGCUCCACUAUCAGAUAGUGAGGACACAACGUCACACUCUCCUGACACUGAUGAUGAAGACUCUAAAGAUGAUAAGACAUGUCACACUGACAACACUCACUUCACAUCUUCUCACUCUCACAAAACUUUUAAAUACCGUCAUAGUCUGAAAAGACACAUGAGAACACAGACUGGAGAAAAACCCUUUUCAUGCUCAAUCUGUGGUAAAGGUUUUGUAGAAAGUCGCGAUUUGAAAAGACACAUUAGAACACACACUGGUGAAAAACCUUUUUCCUGUUCAACCUGUGGUAAACGUUUUCUUGUAAAUCAUCAUUUGAAAAGACACAUGAGAACACACACUGGUGAAAAGCCUUUUUCCUGUUCAAUCUGUGGUAAAGGUUUUACAACAUGUACAUAUGUGAAAGUACACAAGAGAACACACACUGGUGAAAAAUCACAUUCCUGUUCAAUCUGCAACAGAAGCUUUUGUGACCGAUCAACCCUUGUAAGACACAUGAGAAGACACCCAGGAGAGAAAGUGUUGAGUUGCAGUGUGUGUGGUGAAAGAUUGUCUUCUAAGUACCAGUGUAAGAAACACAAGUGUGCUGGUGAGAACAGCAGCAGCAAAUGAAACUGCAGGAUUUGAAAUAAACUGUCCAGACUUUCAUUUUGACUUUCUAACAACUUCAGCACAUAUAACAUGUGUGACAUUGUUGUUUGUCUAACAAUCUGUUUAAUAUGAUCUUUACAUUUAUAGAUUAGAUAUUUUAUAUUUGUGCUUUUUUCAGUCAAGCACAUGCAUUAAUAUGCAACAUUGUGUACUUUUAUUAAAAAAUGGACAGAACAAUUUAAGUAAAAAGGUGGGAGUAAAUAGUACGGGAAAUAUUUUACAUGCAAUAAACAUUUUAUAUGUGUGUGUGUAUAUAUAUAUUGUGUAUAUUCCAGAUAUAAUUUUAGACUUAUUCAUAUGAAAUAUUGAAGUAUUACAUAUUUGUAUUUGUAAUUGUUAAUAAUCCCAUAGAUUAUCACCUUUAUAUGAUAUACAUAUGUACUGGUUCACAUCUGAAACAUCUUCUGGACCACUUCAGGAAGCAUAUUAUUAUUUACUUUAUACAUCAUUUCAACAAUACAAUUUUAAAAUGUGUGACUUUUUGAAUCAUCUGUUGGGUCUCUUUAAUCUAUUUUAUUCAUUAUAUUUUUUACUCUGUAUUAUGAUGAUUGUGUUGUGAUUGUUAUAUAUGUAUGUCCCCAGACCUUUAUGCAAUAUAAAAGUGAGAGAAAAUGACUGAAUUAUUUGUGGAAGGAUGGUUUUGUUUUUACUUACAUUUGUGGAUAUAUUAAAUAAAUCCAGUAUUGUGUUUUGAAUA